CAACUCCCAUUGGCCAGGAAUCACAGCCAGUGGGAGCUGCAGGGGCGGUGCCUGCGGACAGGGGAAUACGCAGAGCAGCCUGGCUGCGCCUCCACGUAGGAGCUGGAGGAGGGACAUGCCGCUGUUUCCAGGACCUGAUUGAGGUGAGCACCUCCUGGAGCCUGACCCUUGGCCCCAGCCCUGAUCCUCCUCCCGCCCUCUGAACCCCUCGGUCCCAGCCUGGAGCACCCUCCUGCACCCCAAACCCCUCAUCCCCAGAGCCCGCAGCCAGAGUCCUCCCGCCCCCCAACCCCCAAUUUCAUGAGCAUUCAUGGCCCACCAUACAAUUUCCAUACCCAGAUGUGCCGUCCCCUGCUCUAGAGUCUCGUAUACUUACUGGUAAGAGUAUAAAGGACAAUGUUUCAGAGAGCAUUUGUAACAAGGUAUCACCAUGUCCUUUUGUCUAGUCACAUUGUAGGUAGCAGAAUGCUGGCAGUGGUAAAUGUAGCAGGCAAUGAAAAGAUAAAGAGAUAUAUAUACUUUUCCUCAGGUUCUUAGCGAACUAAAAUGGGCCAGAAUUGGCUGCGUCUCAGAACUUGAAUUUCUUUCGCAUGCUGUCUUAUUCUGGAAGAUCACUUCAAUUGUUGUAUAAUUCUAGUAAGGUUUCUUAAUAUGUUUAAGUAAAUAGUACAAAAAAGAUUGAGUGAAUUAUGUCUACAGUAUUGUGAAGAAUACAAAAUUUAGUACUGUGAUAAGCCUGAAAAAUCACUCAGAGCGUCAGGAGCUCGCAGCCCAGCCGGAGCCAGCCGCACCACAUGCCAGGAGCGGUGGACCAGAGCACUGGCGGCGUGGUGAGGUGAGGCUGCGGGAGAGAGGGGACAGCAGGGGAGGGGCCGGGGCUGGCUAGCCUCCCCGGCUGGGAGCUCAAGGGCUGGGCAGGAUGGUCCCAUGGGCUGGAAUUGGUGCACGGGCCGUAAUUUGCCCACCUCUGACCUAGAUGCAUCUACAGCAGGGGUUAGCUUGACCUAACUAUACUGCCCAGGGCACAAAAUUUUUCACAGCCCCAAGCAAUGUCAGUCUAGGUUGAUCUAAUUUUUAGGAGUAGACCAGACCGAAGUUAUUACAGGGGGAAUUGGUAACGACCCUUAUACUUAAAUUGCCUAACACUUUCCUCUGUAAAGAACUCUCAGGACAUUUCUAUCACUUUUCUAUUGUUUGAGGUGAACUUUUGAUAUUUGACAUGGGGGCAUGCCAUUAGGCUAGGGAAGUACCUUUUCUUUGUCCCAUGAAAUUGUGUUCAGCUUUUGCUAUGUUACAGGCUGUUUAGAAAAUGCCACCUUUUGCUUGCAUUCCUCAGGAAAAUGUUGGCAGCAUGCUCGUGGCUCAUGCUGUUGCUGCUACUACAACAGCAGACAUACUGGGAACUAGUAGGAGCUUCCAAAGCAGCUGGAGAGGGGAAGGGGAAGAGCUGAGGUCCCCUCACCUGGACAUGGCUCAUGGCCCCAGUGUCCCAUACCCUCCUAUGGAGGCACCACAUGAGGCGGGAACCAGGCUGGGCUCUGCCUUCCUCCUCAUCCACCCACAGAUUCAGCAAACAGCCCAAGUGGCCCACUUCCUUGGCCCUUUUCUAGGGACACCAGGAGCAGCAGGAGCUCCCCGAAUUUCAGGGGGAUGGGAAAGCCAGACCAGCUGGGCUACCCCUUCAACCACUCCCCAAGCCGAUAGACCCAUCCUGAAUAACCACCUUUUGCUGCUGCAUGUUAAUGAAGUUAAUUCUGUGGUUUAAGGGGUUGCAGUCUCUACUCCACUGCUGAAAGGCUCAGGGUUAAACACUGCAUGAUAGGGAUUGUUACAGUUGCACAUAAAAACAAAUUAUAUUACCUUUUUCCUUGACUAAAAACUUAGGAAAUUAUGUAGAAAAAACCCUAAAUUAGAGAUCAUUAUUUAGGUAGCAAAGUCAAGCACUUGAAAGUUAGAAAAUGUCAGAUUUAUGGUUGUCUGUGCAACCUUAUUUGACCCCUUGUGCAUAUGCAUUAUGGUUGUCUUUAACUGCAUGAUCACAUGCUGUCUUUUCCACAGAACUCUGCCUCAUUCAGUGCAUAGGAAAGAUGCACAAUGGAGGCAGAACUUAGUUUGCACAGACAACCCUAAAUCUAGUAUUUCCUAAUUUACGAAUGCUUGACUGGCAACCUAAGUGUUCUUUUAACAUAGCCUCUUUUUUUUGUAUGUAUAAUAAAAAAGUACAUUUAGCAUCUAAUACGUGUAAUGCCCUGUUAUCAGAAUGUUUUCUCCUGUCACCCAAACUACAGCAGCAUGACAGGGAUGUAUAAGUCUCUCUUGCGUUUACAGAGAAUGUGGUUCUACUAACAUUUUAAACGGUCUCCCCAAUGAAGACAUAGGGAAAGAUAUAAUCGACUGAAAAAUAGGAGUAAUCUAGCAGGUGAUACUAUUGCUACGUUGCUUCUAUUGUCUGAGCUCAUUGCACAACCCCAAAGGCUCCUUGGCUCCCUCCACAUCCCCCUCUCCCCAACAAGCUUUCCCCAGCCCGCAUCUCCUCUAUGCCAGGGGCUGUGUGGUCCCCUUUCCCCUCAUGCCAGGUCCACCAUUCUCCCCUUCCAGCUCCUCCCUUCCCCCCGCCAGGGUUCUGUGUGCUCCCAUUUCCCCUGCCAUUCUUAUUCAUCCUUUUUCUGUUUCUUUUAUUUUUUUUCAGAGUUGUCAACAUUUUUAAACUGUAUUGGGAGGAUGGGCAGAGUUAAGGGGAGGGUAUUGUAAAACUGGAAGGUGAUAAUGGCUGCCAUCAACUGGUUCUUUGCUCCUGUGGACAGUUGUGGAGGUGGCUGAAGCUGCUAGUUCUGCAAACCCAUUCUGUGUCUCCCAUUUCUCCCUUUGUUUUUUCCGGUUGUCACCAAAAUGAGUAGGGUUCUGCCUGUUGAUACUUAGUACACUCCCUGAAAAUUUUGGAAUUGAUUGGACACAGCAUUCAGAAGUUAUCGUGUAACAUGUCCAAAUGCAGAAAUACCAUCGAGAUGAGUGCAAGCCCUCAUAACUCUGCCAGUAAAAAUCAGACUCUAUGCUUAAUCAUGUUGAUGCUGUUAAGGUGAAUUUUAUUACAAAUUGGAAUUAUAUAAGAAAAAGGAAAGAUGGUGUUUUAUAUCAACAUUACUUUACUGUGAUGGAGAAUUCUUGGGAAGAAAAUGGAUGUCCUCAAUCCCAAAUGUGAAAGCAAAUAGUGCUGCUCCAGCUGAGGAGGAAAAAACUGGAUGACUCCGAGGAGGAGAGGACUCACAAGAGCAUGGGGGGCCACAGAGGGGAACUGUUGCUGGCGUCUACAUUUAUCCAGAAAGAUAAUGCAACUGCUGUGGAAGAGAUAGCAGCAAGUAUGGAAGGAACUGAUGAAGUUGAAGUUAGGCAGGAAAGUGUAAAGAAGAUGGAUUUUUAGUUACAGCAGCUUCUCCAAAUGUGCAAGUGGCAACAUAUGCAGCUCCUCAGUGCUGGACUUUUGAGCAUACAAAAUCCAUAUGAAGAAUCUGCUAGUAGCUAUUUGAGUCUACUGCAGACUUCUACAAAAUUUUGUAGAUGGUUCAAGAGUCACUUUUGUUGACAGUGUUGACUGACAUAUUUGCAAACAAUGCUGUUUUCAUCUGUUUCUUGUAGGGUUAGAUUACAUCUGUAUGUGUUGAAAUAAUUUUUUUAAAUUACAUAUUUUGGCACCUGUUUGGAUAUUAAAACAGUAUAUUUGAAUGUACUUUUUAGUUUAAGAAAUUAUAAAUGUUCAAUAAAAUUGAAUUAUGCAUCUAA